rnacentral:lncRNA from 1 species
GUCGAGCUAAAAAGGCAAGCACACAAUCUGAUAAUUUUUAUUUGCCGAAUUUUCUUAGUAUACCCUGGAGUUCUGAAGUCAGAGUUAAUUCCACACUGUACAAGGCUGACAUCUUAACCACUAGACCACCACUCCCCUUAAAUUUGUCUUAAAGAAUGCGAGACUCUAUACAAGGUAGAUUUUAAUGAUACUUCUCACAGUAGUAAAUAAUAAAAAUUAUUUUGCCUAAAAAUAAUUACGUUUAUUUUCUCACGAAAUUUAUGGCUAUCUUGAUGCUAGGUGUGUAAACUAGAAACUAUCAUUGUUGUCAAGUAAUCCAGUUUUGUGAUUUAUUGGUUACCUGUCUAAACACAAUAGAGUAAUGAUGAACGCCUUAGCGUCUAGGAACCACUCAAGCGUUAUAUUAACUUCAUAUCACGUGCAAUAUUCACAGCUGAAUUUAAGGUGUACUGGCAAGCGUUUCAGAUCGAUGUUAAAUUGAAUAGCCAGAUCUACAUGCCACGUGGACAAUACAGAGCGCGCCAGGAAUGUAGAGGCGGGCCAGCUUGUUUAGAGGAUGACCAAGGAAAGCAAACAAAAGACGGCGGAUUUGCCAGUAAAUCCCAGGCAUCAAACAAAUGCUGGUAGGUCUGUUGUUAUUGAUUUCAAACGCGCAAAUAAUUUUGCAGUCUAAUAAUUACCGUUCUUCUGUUGAGAAUCUAAAUAUGGGGUGUGGCGGCCCUAAUUCUCAUAACUUGCAGAUUCGAACCAAAGCAUUAGCCUUUCUCGUUUAACAACAGU